UACGAAGGGGGCUAGCGUUGCUCGGAAUCACUGGGCGUAAAGCGCACGUAGGCGGCUUUUUAAGUCAGGGGUGAAAUCCUGGAGCUCAACUCCAGAACUGCCUUUGAUACUGGGAAGCUUGAGUCCGGGAGAGGUGAGUGGAACUCCGAGUGUAGAGGUGAAAUGCGCAGAUAUCAGGAAGAACACCAAUGGCGAAGGCAGCUCUCUGGGACGGUACUGACGCUGAGACGCGAAAGCGUGGGGAGCGAACAGG
rnacentral:rRNA from 1 species